rnacentral:rRNA from 1 species
UAGGGAAUCUUCCACAAUGGACGGAAAGUCUGAUGGAGCAACGCCGCGUGAGUGAAGAAGGUUUUCGGAUCGUAAAGCUCUGUUGUUGGUGAAGAAGGAUAGAGGCAGUAACUGGUCUUUAUUUGACGGUAAUCAACCAGAAAGUCACGGCUAACUACGUGCCUG